UUAACAUGUUAUGGAGACAGUGUUUUCUUAACGAAAAGAAAAUUCUCCCAGAACCCUGCGGCCCAGCUCUGUGCCUGGUCUGGAGGGGAAGACAAGAUUAUCAGAGACCAAAAGGCUGCUGAGCCUGUGCCUCCUUCCUGGGUCUGGAUCCGAGAAGAUGGCAGCCUGGGAGGAGCCAUGCUCGGGAACCAUUACGUGGCAGGAAGAGCUCAAACAGAAGAUCUUUGGCCGGGAGUAGCCAUUCUGGAAGCUAAGAUGGAGACUCCUGGGAACUCAGAGAUUCCAGAGCCUCUGCCUGCCAUCCACCCUGCAGGCUCACUGAGAGCUCAAGCCUCAUCCACUCAGUCCCUGCUGCUCUGCGUUCUGCGGCUGGGUGUAGUUGUCCUGGCCUAUUGGCUUUUCAUGGUUCCAGAUGCCACCUCCCACCCCGCCCAC